UAUGUCUGGAAAGCGAUCUGCCCCUGGAGGUGGUAGCAAGGUUCCACAGAAAAAAGUAAAACUUGCUGCUGAUGAAGAUGAAGAUGAUGAAGAUGAUGAUGAUGAUGAUGAAGAUGAUGAUGAUGAUGAUUUCGAUGAUGAGGAAACUGAAGAAAAAGUGCCAGUGAAGAAAUCUAUACGCGAUACUCCAGCCAAAAAUGCACAAAAGUCAAAUCAGAAUGGAAAAGACUCAAAACCAUCAUCAACACCAAGAUCAAAAGGACAAGAAUCCUUCAAAAAACAGGAAAAAACUCCUAAAACACCAAAAGGACCUAGUUCUGUAGAGGACAUUAAAGCAAAAAUGCAAGCAAGUAUAGAAAAAUGGAAGCCAAGUUCAUCAAUUAUGUGAAGAAUUGCUUCCGGAUGACUGACCAGGAGGCUAUUCAAGAUCUCUGGCAGUGGAGGAAGUCUCUUUAAGAAAAUAGUUUAAACAAUUUGUUAAAAAUUUUCCGUCUUAUUUCAUUUCUGUAACAGUUGCUAUCUGGCUGUCCUUUUUAUAAUGCAGAGUGAGAAUUUUCCCUACCGUGUUUGAUAAAUGUUGUACAGAUACCAUUGCCAAGAAUGUGUUGUCCAAAAUGCCUGUAGUUUUUAAAGAUGGAACUCCACCCUUUGCUUGGUUUUAAGUAUGUAUGGAAUGUUAUGAUAGGACACAGUAGUGGUGGUCAGACAUGGAAAUGGUGGGGAGACAAAAAUAUACAUGUGAAAUAAAACUCAGUAUUUUAAUAAAG